AGAAUUGAUUUCCCCGAAUUUCCGGUAUUUAAUUUCCGUAAAAGCAUUUGGUCAAUGUAAAACCAUAAAAGAAGCUCCUUCAUUCCCGUAAAACAACUUACCAUGGAAAAAACGGAAAUUCAUUUUACGAGCCAACUGUUUGCCCUUCUUUACCUUUUAUCUUUUUCAUUCUCCGAUCAACUAUCACCAUCUUCUUCUCACCCACAACAAUUACUCAGCCCACAACAAAAUCAGCAGAUUUUGUACCAGCAAAAUCAAGUGAGGAGCUCUACGAUUCCAAGUCGUGAGUUUACUCAUCGUGUAAAGUCUGUAUCGGUGUCAAAAUUCACUUCACAUGAAGUUGAAGCUCUUCAGAGUGGUGGUAAUCAGGUUCUUACUGGAGUCCACUUGCACAUUUGGUUGAAAUUUUCCAAUAUGAGGAUCGACCAUUGAACCUGACAUAUCUUUGAUCAAAAAGGGAAAUGAGCUGGUUGGGAAGGUAGUGCGCAUGAUUCUCGUGUUUUAACUGAUGCACUUACAUGCCGAAGAGGAUUUAGUAUUCCAGAAGGUAAAUAUUAUCUUGUUGAUGCUGGAUAUGACAUCCGAAAUGGAAUUAUUUCUCCAUAUGUGGGUGUUAGAUAUCAUUUAAAAGAGUUCAA